UCCUUUUUCCUAUGCAUAUACCUUUUUCAGAUGUAACUUUAAAGAGGUAUAGGGCAUGGGAAAAUGGGG
rnacentral:miRNA from 1 species